rnacentral:misc_RNA from 1 species
GAUCAACACAAAAGCCCUCAAAUUUCAUUGGAUGUCUGCAGGAGAUACUUUGAGAAGAAGUUCAUAUUGAAGCAGGGGUAACUUUCUUUCUUCUCCUCAUAGACAAUGUACUCACAGAAUUUGUUCCCGAAAAAUCCUUCACUUAUUUAUUUAUUUUUUAUUUUUUACAGCAAAAGACACCAAAUCACUUCAAAUCUAACAAAAUCUUGCCUCCUUCAUAGUCCAUGACUCAAAACAAAAUAUCAUAUAAUCUUUUAGGCUCUCAAGAGAAACCUAUCGUCCUCAAAAUACCAUGCACCCCACAAGUAAAAAAUA